AAACCAUGAUAUGGGCAGAAUCUCAUCAUGUCCUUAUAUCUCUCCCAGUCCUUAAAAAGGGAUUCAUUGUCGGCCUGUCUAAAACAAGUUAUCUGGUUUCUUAAUAC